rnacentral:lncRNA from 1 species
AGCUCCCAAGGUUUAUUAUUAGGGAGGUUUCUGUCUACAUGCCCCUGUCACCCCUGUUGGGAAUCUGGCCUUUCUGCAUGAUACCAGUGGACUCUCUUCCAUGUCUUCUCUUCUCACACUUAGCAUCACUAGAGAGUGGCCCGGGGACCAAAAAGCGUACUAUAGGUGGGAAACAGAAUUACUUGGAGGCACAAGAGAAAGCACCUCCUGGGUGACCUUGCUGAGCAGAGGUCCCUCCCUCAGAUUUCUGGGGAAAUGGAGAGCUCUUCACUGUCACUCUUUCCUAGACAUUUGUUUUCGUGUUCUGUACAACGACGUAGUAAGUACCAAAAAGCUGAAAUUGGUUCACAUUCAGCAGUGAAGUGUUUACCUUGGAGGGUUUGUUUUCAAGCCUAAGCUGCCCCUCCCCCAGCUGGCUGGCCUUGCCCCUUUUAUAAAUAGAACUGACCCAGCCCCGUUAGCUGU